UAUUAAUAAGAAGGGAAGCGAAAAAUAUAUAAGCAAUAGUAGUUAAUAGAAAUAUUGGAGUUAUAAAGUGAGAACUUAGGGCUUGAUUACUCGGGACCAAAAAACCCUACCUCUUCUUUCUCUCCCGACGCCGUUCUCUGCUCGAACGAAAACACAAAAGAGGGCUUAGGGCUUCACUCCGGCGGCUGGCCAAGGCAAGGUUCUAUGGAUUCUUCACACCGCCGAGCUCCUCUUGACGAGGAGAAAUCUGGAGCACGAGGAGGAGCCGCGAUUUCGAGUCUUCCGAUUAGAGCUCCGAGACUUAGAAGUCCUCCUUGCGUUUGGUUGUAAGUCCAAGAACGCUAGAUAAAGGAAAAGCUAAAGUAUAAGGAAGAAGGCGACAAGGAGAUGCUGUGAC